rnacentral:tRNA from 1 species
GAUAAAGUCAGCUAAUUAAGCUUUCGGGCCCAUACCCCGAACAUGACGGUUAAACCCCCUCCUUUAUCA